GAGGGGUAAAUUAAUAAAAUAAUAUAAUAAUAAAAUAAUUUUUAAAUAGUUAAAUUUGGGGGGGUUUAAGUAUUUAAAUAGAAAAAAUUAUAUAUAUUUAUAGUAAAUUAGUAUUGUGAAAGAAUUUUGAAAUAAAAUUGAAAAAUAAUUUGUUAAAAAGUAAUAUUAAAUUUAUGUAUCUUGUGUAUCAGAGUUUGUUAAGAAAUUUUUUUGGGGGUAAAAUUUCUCGAAUUUAAAAGAGAUAAUUAAAUAUAAAAGUUAUUGUGUCAAAAAUAUUUUAAAUAUUUAAUUGGAAAUGAAAUGUUAAUCGUUUUUAAAUAUAUCUAGUUUUUUUAGAAAAAAAUUUAAUUUUAUGUUUUUUUUUUAAUAAAUUAAAUUUUUAAUUUAUUAAAAAAAAAUUUUUAUAAUUUAAGGGAUAAGCUUUAAAUUAAAUUUUUAUAAUUAAUUAAUGAAAAUAAUAAAAUUUUUAAAAUUUAUAUUGUUUAUAAAUUAUAAUUUUUUAUAAAUAAUUUUAUAAAAAAUAAAAUUUAAAUUAAUUUAAUUUUAUAUGAAAAAAAAAUUAUAAUAAAAAAAUAAUUGUUAUAAUGAUAAAAUUAGUAUAUUAUAUUAUAAUAAAAAUUAAUAAUAAUUAAUUUUAAUUAUAUAAAAAGAAUUCGGCAAUUAUAUAUGUAUAUUCACUUGUUUAUCAAAAACAUGUCUUUUUGAUAAUAAUUUAAAGUCUAAUCUGCCCACUGAUUUUUAUUAAAGGGCUGCAGUAUAUUGACUGUACAAAGGUAGCAUAAUCAUUAGUCUCUUAAUUGGUGACUUGUAUGAAUGAUUGGAUGAGAUAUAAACUGUUUCUUAUGUAUUAUAUAGAAUUUAAUUUUUUAAUUAAAAAGUUAAAAUAAUUUUAAAAGACGAGAAGACCCUAUAGAGUUUAAUUUAAUUUAUAAUUUAAUUUUAUUUAUGAAUGUUUAAUUAAAAUUAUAAAUUAAAUUUUGUUGGGGUGAUAAAAAAAUUAAUUUAACUUUUUUUGAAAAAAAAAACAAUAAUAAAUGAAUAAUUGAUCCAAAAUUUUUGAUUAAAAGAAUAAAUUACCUUAGGGAUAACAGCGUAAUUUUUUUUUUAGUUCAAAUAAAAAAAAAAGUUUGCGACCUCGAUGUUGGAUUAAGAUAAAAUUUAAAUGCAAAAGUUUAAAAUUUUGAUCUGUUCGAUCAUUAAAAUCUUACAUGAUCUGAGUUCAAACCGGUGUGAGCCAGGUUGGUUUCUAUCUUUAGAAAAAUGAAAUAUUUUAGUACGAAAGGAUCAAAUAUUUAAAAUAAUUUUAAAUAAAAAGAAUAUUAAAAAUAAUAUUAUAAAUAUUAAAAAAUGAUUUAUAUGCUUUAUAUAUAUAUAUAUAUAUAUAUAAA
rnacentral:rRNA from 1 species